GCUGCUUGCUCAAACAUAUGUCAUAUUUUAUUACAUACUUUAUUGUUUCGAUUUUGGAUAUUUGGUUCACAGAAAUUGUUAGUAUGGCAUAAAACGUCGUCAUUUUAAUUAGUUGCUUACAUCGAUACAAACCUUUUCGAAAUAUUGGUGCGGAAACUAUUUGUAGUAUUCGUUUCUUGUUUGAAAAUAUAUCAAAAGUUUGCUGCGGUUUCGGAAAGUAAUUUACAGUAUAACAAUGGGUUUGCCGGAAUUACCUGAUCAAAACAAUGGAGACGAUUUCCGCAUGGAAGAGGACUUCUCUAUUAAUGCUGACGGAACAACAGAUGACAGUGAAAACGAAUAUUACGAAGAGAAUGAAUAUAUGGGCUACCAACCGUUAAACAUGAGAGACAGCAGCAACACAAUAGAGGAGGAGAGUGAUGAAUCUGAAUCAAAUACCACAGUUAUACUUGAUGCUUCAGCUACUCAUGAACUACUAAACGUGGAUGUGUGGAAUGCACCUAGGCCCAAUGAACUCAAUAUAGAAUUGGAUUCAGAAAAAGCAGAGCAGAUUCGUAAUGUAAUGGCUGAUUUCAAGUUACCAAAUGCAUCGGUUCCACAGUGGGCAAUUGGAAUACCAGAAGAAAGCUGGAAGGAAGAAUUGUUAUUACGCAUUCGCCAAAGACAAAAUUGUCAAGCUGCUGAUGAAAAUUCGAAUAAUAGCAAUAAUAAAUAAUUCGUAUGAAUAAA